GCUACUUUUCUGCAUGUAAAGCUCAAAAAGGCUAUUUUGUUUUCUUCAAUGCAGUGGAAUAGUUCGGUACAGAGGUGAUAUUUUCCAGCAAAAGAAGGGCAAAAUUUACCAGAUUCGCUGUAGAACUAGAUCUUCUUUUACCAUAAAGACACUUCUAUAUUCUGUGAGCUAGAGUCACUGUCUGUCCCCCAGGCUCCUGGAAGGACACAGAAGAGACAGCAGUGAGUCCUGCCGAGCAUAGUGCCUGGAGGAGCGUGGGCCCCAACUGUGGGCUGAGAUCAGCUGCUCGCACCACAGCGGCAGGGACCAGAGCAGGGACAGGAAGACAGUGAAUGGAUAAACUUGUAUCCGACAGCAGCAGAUGCAACACAGGCUGCAGUGGGCAUGAAAAACCUGAAUGUGCAGCGUUAGAAGAGAAAACUGAGAGCUUGAAAGAAGGAAACUGCCAAAUGUCAAACUCACAAGGACCUACUGAAAUUCAGGACAAAAUCCAAUUUCAGGUAAACUGCUUAUAUAUUUGAUAUCACAAGGAUGAAAGGUUUGUAAAGAAGCCCUGAUGAAGGCCAGGGAUGGAGACAGAUAAAAUACAACAGCAACAAAGAAACGAACAGAGGCAAACGUGGAUCCAGGAUAAAAUUCCCCGAAUAAGUAGGUGUUUCAUCUUUUCGGUAAAAGCCAUCAGUUCUCUUCAGGGAAUUCCAGCGAGCUGAGUAUACCACAAAACGCCCAGGAAGACCCUGAUGCCAUCAGGUCUGGAAUGGGUACUGCCAUCAUAGUACUUGAAUGCUCAGGUGCUCUGUCUCAGAUGUUCCCAAGUCCACAAAGGAAAAGCACCUACCUUCCCGAUCCUUCUGGCCAUGGAAGCAGAUCUGGGCACAAGAUCUUCUGAAGUUUUAUCUUCUGGUUUCUGAGACUGCUACAGACUGCUUAAGACAAGGUAAGUUUUACU